UUCUGUUUACUUGAAGUUAAUUAUUUGGUGAAAAAGCUAAACUUUUCUUAGAGGACGAUAAGACCCUAUAGAUCUUUAUAAGAUUAUAUUAGUUUUUUAGGUGUUAUCAAACUAGUAGAUUUUUUAUUUCGUUGGGGCGACGUUGAGGGUUGAACUAUCUCUCAAAUUGAUAUUACAUUAAUAAAUGAUUUUUGAUCCUUUGUUGAAUUAGGAUAAAGUUACCUUAGGGAUAACAGCGUAAUUUUUCUUGAGAGUCCUUAUCG
rnacentral:rRNA from 1 species